AAAUUGAAGAGUUUGAUCAUGGCUCAGAUUGAACGCUGGCGGCAGGCCUAACACAUGCAAGUCGAACGGUAACAGGAAGCAGCUUGCUGCUUCGCUGACGAGUGGCGGACGGGUGAGUAAUGUCUGGGAAACUGCCUGAUGGAGGGGGAUAACUACUGGAAACGGUAGCUAAUACCGCAUAAUGUCGCAAGACCAAAGAGGGGGACCUUCGGGCCUCUUGUCAUCGGAUGUGCCCAGAUGGGAUUAGCUUGUUGGUGGGGUAACGGCUCACCAAGGCGACGAUCCCUAGCUGGUCUGAGAGGAUGACCAGCCACACUGGAACUGAGACACGGUCCAGACUCCUACGGGAGGCAGCAGUGGGGAAUAUUGCACAAUGGGCGCAAGCCUGAUGCAGCCAUGC
rnacentral:rRNA from 1 species